rnacentral:rRNA from 1 species
UUAAUAAGCGGAGGAAAAGAAACUAACCCAGGAUUCCCCCAGUAACGGCGAGUGAAGCGGGAAGAGCUCAAAAUGUGAAUCUGCGCAGUUUCUGCUGCGURGAAUUGUGGUCUAUAGAUACUUGCACUAUGAAGCUGGACCAAGUCCCUUGGAACAGGGCAGCUGAGAGGGUGAUACUCCCGUCCGUCUGGUUUUUGGAGCGUGUGUCAACGAGUCGAGUUGUUUGGGAUUGCAGCUCAAAGCAGGUGGUAAAUUCCAUCGAAAGCUAAAUAAGGGUGGCAGACCGAUAGCGUACAAGUACCGUGAGGGAAAGAUGCAAAGCCGCGCGAAAGCGCUGUUAAAGAGUACCUGAAAUUGCUGAAAAGGAAGCAAAGGAAACCAGUGUCAGCAUGGUCAUACUUCCCUAUUUGCUUGCAGAUGGGGCGCUGUGUCCAGCCUAGUCAUUGUUUAUUGUAGUGUCAGAAAAUGCGCCUGGAGAGUUGAUCUUGGUGGCUUGCUGAUACUACUAUAGAGAUUGACGAAAUGGUCUUCUUUUUCCCG